CUAUAGUUUGCUACACGCAACAAGUCAACAAGUGACAUCGCUCUUCCCGCAUUGUGGGAGGUCCUCAUUGCACGUCCCACUGGGAGGAGACCCCGCAGCAGGCCAAGGACCAAAUGGGGGGAUUACAUCUCCUCUCUGGCCUGGGAACGCUUCGGGAUCCCCCAGGAGGAAGUUGCCAAUGUUGCUCUGGAGAGGAAAGGUCGGGGGGUCUAUUGUCCCCGCGACUUGAUUUCGGAUAAUCGGUUGAAGAUGGAUGGAUGGAUGGAUGGAAAACUUGUUUGCUUGCAGUUCAGGUCUGGAGAGCCACGGGAGGGGCCAUAUUAGGACCCAAAGUCUCCAAGAAGAUAAGGCGGACGAGCAGAGAGGGGGUGAACUCGACGCCGCUGAAAGCACAUUUCGUUUUAACUGUUUAUGACCCAGUGCUGGGAUGCUGUAUAAUGUGACCCCUCCCUUAGAAACAGCUUCAGCUAUGUAAUGAGGGA